rnacentral:misc_RNA from 1 species
GUGAAUCAUCAAAUCUUUGAACGCAAAUUGCACUCUCUUCGGAGAGUAUGCGUGUUUGAGGGUCAGCCUAAAAAAAAUCGACAUAGUUGCUGUUACGCGGUAACAUUCGUCGGAAAUUGGGUCAUCUUAAAUAUUUGGGUUUAAGCGGCGUAAAAUUAUCUUUCCGAUUCCAAGAACGUUUCUCAGAUUUUAUCUUUUUUUACGUUUAUGGUAUCGAUCUUUAUUAGACGUGGCAGUUGCAUCGGGUCUCGUCCA